rnacentral:misc_RNA from 1 species
GAAAUGCGAUAAGUAGUGUGAAUUGCAGAAUUCAGUGAAUCAUCGAAUCUUUGAACGCACAUUGCGCCCUUUGGUAUUCCAAAGGGCAUGCCUGUUCGAGCGUCAUUUGUACCCUCAAGCUUUGCUUGGUGUUGGGCGUCUUGUCUCUAGCUUUGCUGGAGACUCGCCUUAAAGUAAUUGGCAGCCGGCCUACUGGUUUCGGAGCGCAGCACAAGUCGCACUCUCUAUCAGCAAAGGUCUAGCAUCCAUUAAGCCUUUUUUCAACUUUUGACCUCGGAUCAGGUAGGGAUACCCGCUGACCUUAAGC